rnacentral:rRNA from 1 species
UACGUAGGGGGCAAGCGUUGUCCGGAUUUAUUGGGCGUAAAGCGCGUGUAGGCGGCCAGAUAGGUCUGCUGUGAAAACUCGAGGCUCAACCUCGAGCUGUCGGCGGAAACCAUCUGGCUAGGAGUCCGGAAGAGGAGAGUGGAAUUCCUGGUGUAGCGGUGAAAUGCGCAGAUAUCGAGGAAGAACACCUAUGGCGAAGGCAGCUCUCUGGGACGGUACUGACGCUGAGACGCGAAAGCGUGGGGAGCGAACAGG